ACAUUUCGCCCAACUGGUAGGGCGAUCGAAAUUCAAUCGAUAGGCUGAGGGUUCAAGUCCCUCAAUGUCCC
rnacentral:tRNA from 1 species